rnacentral:rRNA from 1 species
UACGGGGGGAGCAAGCGUUGUUCGGAUUUACUGGGCGUAAAGGGCGCGUAGGCGGCCACCGCAAGUCAGUUGUGAAAUCUCUGGGCUUAACCCAGAAAGGUCAACUGAUACUGUGCGACUAGAGUGCAGAAGGGGCAACUGGAAUUCUCGGUGUAGCGGUGAAAUGCGUAGAUAUCGAGAGGAACACCUGCGGCGAAGGCGGAUCUCUGGGCCUUACCUGACGCUCAGGUGCGAAAGCUAGGGGAGCGAACAGG